rnacentral:rRNA from 1 species
AUGUCGCUUUUUUGUAGGCUGGGGCAAAGUGCUCGGGGUGCAGUAAAUAAAGGGGGUGAAGAGGAAGCGGGACCCGUGGUAAUUAAGAGGAGGGGAACGGCAAGUCAGUCCAUUUCUUCCUUCUCUCUCUAUUCUUCUCUGUCAAAUCUGAAGAUCUGCAGCGGAACAAAGAAAUCGAUGUGCUCCUCCACGGCCAGUGAGAGGACGGGCGGUGCUGCUGAUGGAGUUGUGCCAUGCAAUGAAAGGGUUCGUUUCAACAACCUGACGGGAGAUAGGUUGACAUUCAAGGAAAACAAACGUACAUACACUGUGAAGUGUCACAAGGGGCGCAAGCAGAGUGCAUUGUAUGGGAGAGGGUGGAGGAAGUUUGUUGCACACAACAAGCUAGGGAAGGGUCAGAUGGUUUUGUUCUACUUGGACCAGCAUUCACCAAGGGCGGUUGUUUGCGUGGUCCAGUUUGGAAACAGCACUGAAGAUGUUGGGGGAGGAUCGAGUUGUUUUCUGAAACCCGAACUUUAUACUUGA